rnacentral:misc_RNA from 1 species
GAUGAAGAACGCAGCAAACUGCGAUACUUGGUGUGAAUUGCAGAAUCCCGUGAACCAUCGAGUCUUUGAACGCAAGUUGCGCCUCAAGCCAUUAGGUUGAGGGCACGUCUGCCUGGGCGUCACAUAUCGUUGCCUGAUGCCAGUUUCCUCGUGAUGGGUGACUGUGCAGGGCGAAUGAUGGCUUCCCGUGAGCAUUGUUGCCUCAUGGUUGGUUGAAAAUUGAGUCCUUGGUAGGGAGCGCCGUGAUAGAUGGUGGUUGAGUGACGAACGAGACCCAAUCAUGUGAGACCCCUACCGAAUUUGGCCUUCAUGACCCACAUGCGUCUUUGGAACGCUCAUGACGAGACCUCAGGUCAGGCGGGGCUACCCGCUGAGUUUAAGCAUAUCAAUAAGCGGAGGA